CCCAUGAGGCUUUGCAGCCUUGAACCAGCGCUCCUCAAAGUUGGUUAGGACAUCAUAUGCUGCAGGGCCAUCAAUUCUACAGUGCAAAUCAUGCCAUGGCUCUCUAGGGCAACCAGAAACAUUAUUACCUGUGAAAGUGGGGUUGUGAUAGUCGUCCUUAUGCACUGUUUGCAGUGUCCUAAAUAAAGGGUGAUGCGGAGUAUCAUAUCUUCCAUCACAUAAAUCGAGUCCACCAACAAAAGCUAUGAUUUUUCUUCUGUUAUUGCCUGCAUCAGCAUCUACAAUCACAGUUUUCUGAUGGUGCGUAUAUAUGGUUCCAACUUCCCUUUGCUUGACCCAGCUAUGUCUUUUUCCAGCAAUGCGAGGACAGAGAAGCACUUGCACUGAUGAGUUUUUGAAAAAACGGCGGGUUUCCUCAUCAUGGGUCGCCAUAAUUCCAUCAGUUUUAUAUCCUAAGAUACACCUUGAAGUAGGGUCAUCCCAAACAAGAAGCAGCAC
rnacentral:misc_RNA from 1 species